UAUGGCGAAUCUCCACAACAGAUUUUCUGCUUUGAGUGAUUAUAAGGGUUCUGCUAUAUCCAACACUUAGUCUCUACAAAUGAGGUCAUAUGUAUUUCUUUCGUUUUUUGUAGUGAAUGUUGUGGUACAAUGGAAGAAAACUCUUUCCUCAUCUCUGGUGAUGUAUUUUCAUUCUGAUGAUCAAAUCACAUGGACUGUGCCUCGAUAGGAGUCGCAAAAUGCGGGCUGCAAAUGAAAGCCUUGUUGGCAUGCUUCUUCGGAAUUGACUUCUCAGAACCACCCUUUGAUUCCAGGAACUCUUGCCAUGUCAAAUUUAUCAAGAUCAGACGCAGCUUCACCUUUGGAUGUGAAAUAAAGAAGCUGAUCCAGCGGCGAAGAAUUUAUUAUGAAUUCAUCUUCCGCAACAUGUUCUACUGAUUGCAUUGCACGAUUCGACCCUCACUCAUUUCCUCGACAUAUUGAAACAACAUCUGGUUCACAUGCUUCUGCUGUGAAUCUUGGGUUUUAAUAUAUUCGCAUCACUUGCUUUUUCAUGCAUCCAUGUAUUCGAUUCUCACGCCUCUUUAUCUGGUUUCAGAGGUACGUAAAUUUGCAUAUUUUGUAGACAAAGCGUUGGACCAUUGCAAGUGUCUCUGUUAUCAUUCA